rnacentral:tRNA from 1 species
UCUACCAAAGGAUAAUAGU